UCAGUAUCGACAGUUUAAAGAAAAAUAAUUUUUUUAUCUCUAUUUAUCUGCAAUCGGCUAUAUAGGUAGCCAUAAUCAGAUGUGUGCCAAAGAAUUCGAGAUGUGGAUGACAUUGCAUUAAAUGUCAUCAAUUACAGCAGUAAAUUAAGUUUUUUUUGUCUAAAUCUAAAAUUUGCCAUCUCUGCCAACCACGGUCGAUGUGCAGUAUUUAUCGUCGGGUAGGUACUGUAAUUCUUUUGUCGGAGUGUUUAAUAGUGAACUCUGUGAAGUGAACUGGUCUGAUCUAGUGAACUGAUGUAGUUUUUGUGUGUGCUCCAGUAGAAUCUGACAAUGUUUUAGAUACACGAUGCGAUAUUAUAAUAAAUAAAAAUUUCAAUAAAAUGCUCUUCAAAACGUGCCGUUUACAGGAGCAAUGAGAAACUAAUCGAAGUGAAGCCAUCUAGUGGCCGACGCCCGUAAACAUUUUUGUUUUAACACGCUUUCAAUAGUUUCGAAGAACUUCAAGACAUCAAGAUUAAGUAGAAAAAUUAGCGCACACAUCAACACAGAACGCCAAUGCUACAAUUUUAUUACUUAGUUCUAAUAAAAGAAAAUCAGCAAAUAAUAUAAUUUACGUAAUUAUUGGUGGUAAAGUUUAAUACACUUAUAAAACUUACUGAAAUAAAUAUAAUUAAAGGUACAAAAAUGGAUUCAAUCACACAAAUAAUGCUAAUAUUCCCAAUGAUAAUUACUUAACGCAUUCUUCUGCCUUUCAUAUGAUUGACAUCCAGAUUAUGCCAUAGACAAUAAAUGAGAUCAUAAAAAUUGUCCAUGUAAGGUUAAUAAAUAAAUUAGAAGCCAAUAAAACCUA